rnacentral:lncRNA from 1 species
AAUCCCACACAAACCAUCACUGUCACACGAAGCUAGGAAUUUCAAGGUUUGAAUAUUUUCUUCCUUUUCAUAUCUCCAAUGUUUUCUUGUUCUGUUUGUUUAUGUCUUUUUAAAACCUGUCUCUUUCAUUCAUUCUAAAAAUCUUUAGACACUUAGUAUUUUCAAUAGCUUCCAAGACUUUUAAGUAGCUACUAGCUAUAGUCUUAUUACUUAUGAAGGAAACAGAGUACUUAUGCAAUUCUUCUAGUUUUUAGCUUAAGCCAACUCUAUGAAAACUAAGAGUCUUUUCCAAUAUUUCUAAAAAUAGAGCACUAACUCAAAUGUUUUAGUUAACAAGUUGUCUAUUUUCACUUGAUUUUAUAUUAGCAAUGAACUCAUGUUUAGUACCCUUAUUGAUUCUUUAAGUGAUCACAAGUAAAGUGUAAUUAUGUAACAAGUUGUUGGUAACAAGAUACUUCUAAACUUUGGAUUCAUAUGAUGAGUUGAAAGUCUUUGUUUCAUUUACUAUGAAACCAUAUACACGUAUGAGAAUAAGAAGUAGAUGUCAUGCAAUUUUCUUAAUUAUGUNNNNNNNUAAUUCUAGUUAGUUAAGAAAUAGUUGUUUUGAUGAGUUAAUAGGUGUCCUAGAUGAAGGUGAUUGCUCGAGUUAUUUUGGAAAGCUUCGAGGUAAGGGGAAUCGCUAAUAAUAAGUUUCGAUGAGCAUAAGAAAUGUGUUACUAGCUUGUAUAUAUAUUAUUAGUUAUAACUAGGGGUGUUGUGUACUUUAUAUAGUAAUUUAUAUUCAUUAAGGUAUAUGCAAAAUGUUAAAUGAUGAGUGAUUGAUUUUAGUUUGAUUAUAUGUGUGAAUAAAUCUUCUGCAAUAUAUGAUUUGAAAAUGUUCAUGUGUUUGAGUGUUAUGGUGAAAAAUUGAGGUUAACUCUCAUAAGUUGUAUGGUGAGUUU